rnacentral:rRNA from 1 species
GAUGAACGCUGGCGGCGUGCCUAAUACAUGCAAGUCGAGCGAACAGACGAGGAGCUUGCUCCUCUGACGUUAGCGGCGGACGGGUGAGUAACACGUGGAUAACCUACCUAUAAGACUGGGAUAACUUCGGGAAACCGGAGCUAAUACCGGAUAAUAUGUUGAACCGCAUGGUUCAAUAGUGAAAGACGGCUUUGCUGUCACUUAUAGAUGGAUCCGCGCCGCAUUAGCUAGUUGGUAAGGUAACAGCUUACCAAGGCAACGAUGCGUAGCCGACCUGAGAGGGUGAUCGGCCACACUGGAACUGAGACACGGUCCAGACUCCUACGGGAGGCAGCAGUAGGGAAUCUUCCGCAAUGGGCGAAAGCCUGACGGAGCAACGCCGCGUGAGUGAUGAAGGUCUUCGGAUCGUAAAACUCUGUUAUUAGGGAAGAACAAAUGUGUAAGUAACUAUGCACGUCUUGACGGUACCUAAUCAGAAAGCCACGGCUAACUACGUG